UUGGAAAAAAAAAACUUGAGAUUUUAUGCUCUUGCUCUUGAGAUCUCUUACUUUAAAUUGUCUUUGAUUUUGGAGAGAAAGAAACACAAAAAACUUGAAUGAUCGAUUACUUUUUUUUGGAUUCUCUUAAAUUUGGGUAGGCAAAAAACAUCAGAUUGAUUCCUUCUAAUUUGAUUCACUUUCUCUCUCGAACUCAAACUUUCAGAUCUAGUUUUUAUUUUAUUCUUACUUCGAUAUUCACUGAUCUAACUUAACUCCCUAACUGGAUGAGUGAAGUGGCGUAAGUAUCAAUUGCUGUUUUAUUUGUAGAUAAGUAACUUGGCAAGCAUUUGGUUUCUGUCUCUCUCUCUCUCUCUCUCCAUUUUUGCUACGGGUAUACUGGAAAUGAGAUGGAGCGGUGUGGGCAUAGAUGAAUGGUGGAGAAACGAGCAGUUUUGGGUCAUUGGUUUCUUUUCCUUUUUUAUUCUUUCUUCUUCACUUAAAUUAAAAUUAAAUUUUUGGAUGUUUUUGUUUCUCUGCGUUUCACACACAAUUCAACAGACCCAUCUUCUUCUUCUUAAGAUUCUGAAUCUUUUAUAUUGAUUGAUUGGCUAGCUUCUCUUCGAUUUUACAAGUUUUUUGUUUAUUCCGAAGCUAGUUGAUGAAAAGAAUCAAAAAAAAAAUUAUCUUGAUGAUGAGGAAGAUAAAUAAUUUUUUCUUUUCUUCCUUGUGUGUGUUUGCAGGAUCUGAAGGAAGCUAGGGUUUGAUUUAUUUAUUUUGACAAAUUGUAAUUCGGAUUAUUUUUUUUUAUGGGCAAUCUUUAAAAGAAGAGGUAACAUAUGUUCUUUUAAGCUUCUCCCUUACAGGAACUUUCUUUUUUUUAGAUAUGUCUUGUUCUUACAAGAUCCUUUUGGAUAUGUCUUUGAAGUUUGAUAUGUGGUUUCCGUGUUUCAGAGAUUUUGACUAAUUUUGUAAGUUACCUAAAUAUUCAGAUGAAUUGAAUCUUUGACCACGAUCAGAUCAACCAGUCUGGUUCGUAACUCGUUUUUAUCUCCAAAUAAUAGGCAAAAAGAGUAUACAAUCUUCAUCAAAUAUGUAAACUUUAAUACUCUAGGAUUUAUCUCUUUAGACUUGAUUGACUAUGUAGAGAUUAACAACUCAAAUCCCUAGCGUUAUCAUCUGCGUGUGAUUAAGAUUCAAUCAACUUUUACUGGCUACUUAGUAUUUGUAAUAUAUCCGGACUUUGAUCAGUGUUCUGAACCAUAGUUUCCUCAAAACAUCUCACUUUCUCAGCUUUGUCUCUAGUUGGAUUGUUAUAUGUAUUACUUAGGAUAGUUUAGUCUAAGUAGGUCUCUCCGUCUCUGCUCAUUAGUUUCAUUUGUCUGCAGGUUUCUUACUCAAAAGUUGAAUACUUUACACUAUUUAUAUACACACACUAAAAAAGAUGUUGGGAGGCAACAAUAAGAACCAUGUGCCGCAGGUUCUAAUGAACGAUAGCCAGUUUCAGUACCAGACGAACACAUCGUUGAAUCAGCUUCACUUGCUCGGGACGAUGAGAGCUGGUUGUACUAUUGAUCUUGUAAAUAUUUUGCUAAUGAUAACCUUGCUCCGAUGAUUCGACUGUUGAGAUGGGCGUUUUGAGCAAUGUUUCUAUUCUCCUCUUUAUUUUUCUUCUUUGGUGUGUAAAGAUUGUUGUUUGUAAUGAGUUACGGUGUCAAUAUCAAUGAAUGAACGCAAGCCUAGUGUUUGUAGGUGAUGUUUCGAGGGAACA